CAGCUUACCAUGCAGUCGAGGGGUAUAGAAGGCUUGCUUCCUAGAGACCGGCAAACGGGUGCGGAACACGUACACAACCUACCUUUAUCAGGGGAAUAGCCCAGAGAAAUUUGGAUUAAUGCCCCAUAGUAUAUUUUGAUGGCAUCAUUAGAAUAUUAAAGAACUUCGGAUAGAGAUGGGUGUGCGUAAGAUUAGCUAGUUGGUAAGGUAACGGCUUACCAAGGCGACGAUCUUUAGCUGAUGUGAGAGCAUGAUCAGCCACACGGGCACUGAGACACGGGCCCGACUCCUACGGGAGGCAGCAGUGAGGAAUAUUGGUCAAUGGACGGAAGUCUGAACCAGCCAUGCCGCGUGAAGGAUGAAGGCGUUCUGCGUUGUAAACUUCUUUUAUCUGAGAAGAAACCACCGAUUUCUAUUGGUGUUGACGGUAUCAGAUGAAUAAGCACCGGCUAACUCCGUGCCAGCAGCCGCGGUAAUACGGAGGGUGCAAGCGUUAUCCGGAUUUACUGGGUUUAAAGGGUGUGUAGGCGGACUUAUAAGUCAGGGGUGAAAUCUCCGAGCUCAACUCGGAAACUGCCUUUGAUACUAUUAGUCUUGAAUUAUGUUGAGGUUGGCGGAAUAUAACAUGUAGCGGUGAAAUGCAUAGAUAUGUUAUAGAACACCGAUUGCGAAGGCAGCUGGCUAAACAUAUAUUGACGCUGAGGCACGAAAGCGUGGGUAGCGAACAGGAUUAGAUACCCUGGUAGUCCACGCCCUAA
rnacentral:rRNA from 1 species